rnacentral:tRNA from 1 species
GUUUUAAUAAUUUAAAAAAAAUAGUAGUCUUGUAAACUAAAUUUAGGUGUUUCCUUUAAAACU